GACGAACGCUGGCGGCGUGCUUAACACAUGCAAGUCGAACGGAAAGGCCCUGCUUUUGUGGGGUGCUCGAGUGGCGAACGGGUGAGUAACACGUGAGUAACCUGCCCUUGACUUUGGGAUAACUUCAGGAAACUGGGGCUAAUACCGGAUAGGAGCUCCUGCUGCAUGGUGGGGGUUGGAAAGUUUCGGCGGUUGGGGAUGGACUCGCGGCUUAUCAGCUUGUUGGUGGGGUAGUGGCUUACCAAGGCUUUGACGGGUAGCCGGCCUGAGAGGGUGACCGGCGGAAGGGGGAAGGAGAUAGGGGCGGGAAGGCGAAGGGAGGCAGCAGGGGGGAGGGGGGAGGAAGGGGCGGAGGCAGGAUGCAGGAACGCGGGGUGAGGGAGGAGGGGCGUCGGGGUGGAAAACGAGUGAGAGGGGGAAGAAGCGGGAGGGACGGUAAUGGGUAACGAAGCAACGGAUAACUACGUG
rnacentral:rRNA from 1 species